AUUUGGUUUUCCUUGUGAAGUUAAUGUAUUAGGUGUUUAGGUGUUGUGAGGUUGCCUUUAGGCUUGUUUAAUUGUUUCACAGAUGCUAAGACUAGACAUUACAGAUGGUUUGAAAUGCUAGAACAGAGAGAACGAAAAUAAGCACUAGAAUUUCACUACUAGUUUGGAUUGUGUUCUGGAAAUGUAAGUAGGAAUUAAAAAGUCGUUCAUCGAAACCAAAACUCACUCUUACCAGCAUGAUAUUGUGAUUCACCUUCAUUUCCCUUUUAAACCGUGAUAUUAUGAUUCACAUUUCCCCUAAUUCUUUUCGAUUCUUCUUCCUACAUAACAAACACAUGAGGGUUGGGGUAUGAUUCAUUCCAACAUCCCCACCAUGCACAAAUGUAUUUUACAUAAUGUAGCAGAUUCUUUUCAUUCGUAUCAACCAUUCUAAUUCCAGAAAUCAUCGUGCAAAGAGGAAAAUCAAAUCAUCUUGCCCUCCUUCCAAUAAGAUAUAGAUGAUGAAUUUCAGUCCAUCAAAAGUGCCCUUGGCACGUAUAGCUCCUUUGUUCCUUGGAAGUGAUUAUCCAUGGAGGCUAUGGUUGACAUCUACCGAGAAAGAAAUUGGUCAACCGAAAUGCUUCCCCAGUUUGAUACUCCAGCAAAUACAGGUACUUGGUGUGUAAUUUUUGUUUCACAAACUCAAUAAAUAUCUGUAUCCUGUGUCUAUUCCUAGGAGUGUUGAAAAGCCUCGCACCAUUUUGUCUAUUUCUGGCUUCUAAACAAGCAGCAAAUCUACGUACUCUACAGUGUUGUUGAAUCUCCAACGGGUGAAAAGGAAACCCACCAUGUGACACCUCCUAUUUAAUAGAUGAAAUCUUGAAAACACAACGUAGUCAACAUGGGACACUGCAUUUUAAUCAUCCCGUAUAUUUGCUUAAAAUAAAAUUUCAGCAUUAUGCCAAUAACAAAACCAGUAUGUGGUAUAUCUUUACUAAUUUUGUAGAAGACUCACUUCCAUCUAGAUCAAAAAAUAGUGUGGAGGGGGAGGAAAUGAAAAAGAAAAGAAAUUCAGGAGCAACUUCAAAUAAAUGAAAACAGUGAAUUUACUUUGCCUUCUGCUUGGAUUUGAGCAUCACGAACCCAACAAAUGUGCAUAAGAAGCAGAGAAGUGUCACUCCAGCGAAUACAGGUAUGAGUAUGGCGUAAUCUUGAGGCAGAAAGUACUUAUGGAUAAAGU
rnacentral:lncRNA from 1 species